rnacentral:rRNA from 1 species
GACGAACGCUGGCGGCGUGCUUAACACAUGCAAGUGGAGCGACGAACCGGGCUUCGGCCCGGGGCAAAGCCGCGAACGGGUGAGUAUCACGUGGGUAACCUGCCCCGAUGACCGGGAUAACCCGAGGAAACUCGAGCUAAUACCGGAUGUGUUCUCCGUGCAUCAGCGCGGAAAGCAAAGGAAGCUUCGGCCUCCGCUUCGGGAUGGGCCCGCGGCCCAUUAGCUUGUUGGUGAGGUAAAGGCUCACCAAGGCAACGAUGGGUAGCUGGUCUGAGAGGACGAUCAGCCACACUGGGACUGAGACACGGCCCAGACUCCUACGGGAGGCUG